AGAGUUUGAUUCUGGCUCAGGAUGAACGCUAGCUACAGGCUUAACACAUGCAAGUCGAGGGGCAGCAUGUUGGUUGCUUGCAACCAAUGAUGGCGACCGGCGCACGGGUGAGUAACGCGUAUCCAACCUUCCCUUAGUAGGGCAUAGCCCGUAGAAAUGCGGAUUAAUACCCUAUGUUGUAUAUUGAGGACAUCUGAUUUAUACCAAAGGUUUACCGCUAAGGGAUGGGGAUGCGUCUGAUUAGGUUGUUGGCGGGGUAACGGCCCACCAAGCCUACGAUCAGUAGGGGUUCUGAGAGGAAGGUCCCCCACAUUGGAACUGAGACACGGUCCAAACUCCUACGGGAGGCAGCAGUGAGGAAUAUUGGUCAAUGGACGAGAGUCUGAACCAGCCAAAGUAGCGUGCAGGAUGACGGCCCUAUGGGUUGUAAACUGCUUUUAUACGGGGAUAAAGUGACCCACGUGUGGGUUUUUGUAGGUACCGUAUGAAUAAGGACCGGCUAAUUCCGUGCCAGCCGCCGC
rnacentral:rRNA from 1 species